UUUAGGUACUUUGGCCGAUAGACCAGUGCGAGCAUACCAACCGAAUCCAGCCGGGGAGCAUGUCUUCCUUGUCCUCUACCGCCGCAUUCGAGGAUCUGCCCCCGCUGAUCAACUGCCCGCAGUGCGGUGGCCGGGUCUUCACAUGGAUUGCUCGUACGGGAGCGAAUGCUGGAGUUCGUUUCUACAAGUGCAUCAAUAAAGAUGCAGGCAUCUGCAACUACAUGAGGACCAAGGAGGAGUACAUCGCAGAGCUCAGCUACCAUCUGGGUACGGCGCAGCCGGCAGUACACGGAAGCACCCAGGCCGGAUCGUACCUUCAUCGCAGAGUUCGUAUAGGCGAGCAGAUCCGGGGCGUUGCAGCGCCCAAUCAAGCGUGGUCAACCGGGGUGGAUCGCCAACCACCGCGCUUCGUGUGCUUGUGUUUUUAGCUGCGGCCAUUCUGUUGGUCUUGUUUCUACUGCUGAUGGCGGUGAUGAAAGUAGUAUUCCUGCUUAGCAGAUAGACGCAGGCUCUGAUGAUGUACUAGUCAUAAUCAGUAGAUUAGGUAGUAGGAAUGAACAAGUGGUCCGGUAUCUACAGGGAUUUAGCUGUGUGAGGGUUAUCCAUGUAAGACUCAUGUAAUCGGUCAUCUUAUCAGUAAUCAAGUAUGUUGAAUUAUGGAUCAA